rnacentral:lncRNA from 1 species
CAUAUAAUCAGUCAGGGGCAUUACUUAAACAAGUAACAAUUAAAAUUACCUAUUCAAGUAAUGUUGAAAACGAGGCUAUUUUAAAUAUUACUUAUAUAAGUAACUUUUCUGAAUAUUAUUUUUAUAGGUGUCCAAUAAUACAGAUUUUACUAGGUUUAACAAUUUUUCAUAGUCAUCUGGUUAUUUUUCCCCUGACAUAUUAAAUCUAAUCCUUCUGAAACACUAAUUAACUUUCUGACGCACUUAUCUUUCAUACCGACGCUUCUUGGUCAAAGAUUGGUAUCUUGGGACAAUUAAA